GACGAACGCUGGCGGCGUGCUUAACACAUGCAAGUCGAACGGAAAGGCCCUGCUUUUGUGGGGUGCUAGAGUGGCGAACGGGUGAGUAACACGUGAGAAACCUGCCCUUGACUUUGGGAUAACUUCAGGAAACUGGGGCUAAUACCGGAUAGGAGCUCCUGCUGCAUGGUGGGGGUUGGAAAGUUUCGGCGGUUGGGGAUGGACUCGCGGCUUAUCAGCUUGUUGGUGGGGUAGUGGCUUACCAAGGCUUUGACGGGUAGCCGGCCUGAGAGGGUGACCGGCCCCAUUGGGACUGAGACACGGCCCAGACUCCUACGGGAGGCAGCAGUGGGGAAUAUUGCACAAUGGGCGGAAGCCUGAUGCAGCGACGCCGCGUGGGGGAUGACGGCCUUCGGGUUGUAAACCUCUGUCAGCAGGGAAGAAGAGAGAUUGACGGUAAUGGCAGAGAAAGCGCCGGCUAACUACGUG
rnacentral:rRNA from 1 species